rnacentral:rRNA from 1 species
AUACGGAGGACGCGAGCGUUAUCCGGAUUCAUUGGGUUUAAAGGGCGCGUAGGCGGCGCGGUAAGUCUGGAGUGAAAGUCCUGCUUUCAAGGUGGGAAUUGCUUUGGAUACUGCCGCGCUUGAGUGCAGGAGAGGUUAUCGGAAUUCCCGGUGUAGCGGUGAAAUGCGUAGAGAUCGGGAGGAACACCAGUGGCGAAGGCGUAUAUCUGGACUGCAACUGACGCUGAGUCGCGAACGUGUGGAGAGCAAACAGGAAUAGAUAACCUGGUAGGCCACACUGUAAACGAUGAAUGCAAGGUGUAAGAGGUAUCGACCCCUUGUGUGCCGGAGUCAACACAAUAAGCAUUCCGCCUGGGGAGUACGGCCUCAAGGUUGAAACUCAAAGGAAUUGACGGGG